UACAUGAAGCAGGAACCCUGAAGGAUGGUCUCAUCUUUAGGUGGCGUUGGCCUUUUCUCAGCUUGCUGGGAAGAGCUGGGUUCCUAAAUACAAUGCACCGAUUUGUGUUUUGAGACCUCGGACCAGCCUAGAUUGCUCUCCAGAGUCAAAAAUGACCUUGACCUCCUGAUAUGUCUCUGCCUCCAGAGCACUGGGAACAUUACCACCAUGCCUUGUGCUGAGGAUUGAACCCCGGGCCUCCUGUAUGCCUGGUCUGCACCAGCUCUCAGGAGCCAUUACAGUUGCGCUUGGAGCCCUUCCGACAUCAGGCAGAAACCCAAGUUAACCUCGCAGGGCUGAGAGACACGUGGGAGAAGCUCCAGGCAGGCUAACCUACUCACCUGAGAUACCAGAGCAGAAAAUGGCUGCCAAGCAGAGCCCACUCCGAACUCCCUACCUACAGAACUGUGAGCUAGUAAAAUGGCUAUUGUAAAUCAGUAAGUAUUGGGGUGCUUUUCUCUGUAGUUAUAGAUGUGUGAUAAACUCCCACCAGAAGAACUAAUAGUUCCCACUCCCCAUGGUCACCUGGCAUUGGCAGCUUUUCUAACUUUACAACUCUUAUAGGGACAAUCACUUUAAUAGCAAUUCCUUCAAAACCGCUAAUGAAGUUGUAGCUUUCUCUAUAUUUUUAGUAGACCUUGGGCCUUUUCCUUUUAAACUGUAUAUCUAUCAUUUGCUCAGCUUUCUUAUGGAGUCCUAUCAUUCCUUCACGGUCUGCUGGAGUGCCUGUAUAUUCUGGGUGUUUCCAGGUUCUUGGCGUAGUCUUCAAACUGAAGGAGCACACACAGAGGCUAACAAAGGGUGUUUUCCAAAGGCAGGGCUAACGUACAGAGAAUAUACAUGCACUAGAGAGCAGCCUGGCUCUGAGAGACUGGUGCAGCUCAAGGUGGGGACCUAAUCAUUGCCCAGUGGCUUCCUUUCCUGGGUCCAGGAGGAUUUGCUUACUAGGGGCAAAGUUGGGUGGUUUUCUGUUUUGAUUGACAGGCUUAGGUUAUGCAACCACUUCCCAUAUCCUUUCCCACAAUGCAUCUGAUUUUGAUCACAUGCAUGCCCAAUUAGGCACAAGCAAAGGAUUUUUCCUAAGAGUUUACUCACGGGAUGUAGUUUGUGUUCCAGCACAUGCACCCAAAAUGAGUUCAGUCUGGACCUGCCCACUGCCCUGGUUCCAAGAUGUAUUCCAAGAUGUAUUUGAGCACAAAAGAGGGGUUAAUAUGGGUUUCUAGAGAACUACAGGUCAGAGUGACUGGUAGCUUUGUAUGAAGAAGGGUUCAUGAGCAGUCCAGUGUAGGUGGGGGUCCUGAUGCUGAGUGCUUUGGGGUUUUGUGCAGUCCAGUGUAGGUGGGGGUCCUGAUGCUGAGUGCUUUGGGGUUUU